rnacentral:lncRNA from 1 species
GAGAGUUUGGGGUUCCAGUCACAAGUCAGUGGCUGCUCAACCACUGUGCUCUUGAAUUGCCCAUAACUACCUGGCAGGGAAACUUACAUAGCAGGAGCCUGCACAGGAAGAGGAGCCAGCCUUGGUGAGAACUGACUCCAUAAGACCUCCUGUCUUUAUAGACAGACCAACAGGGAACCUUAACCCUGAUCAGAAAGCAAGAAACAGGAUUGGCUCCUAAAAUCCUAUGCUAAGUGGCCAGCUGGGUGGAAGGAACUUUCUGACGGAGAAAAUUCCCCGCUUCUUUACCCAUCUCUCCUCUUACUUGUAUCACAAGAAUUUACCUCCGUGCUAUCCUGGUCUAGGGAAAUGGUUUCAAGAGCACUGUACACCGAUCUAUAGCCUAAAAGCUACACCACUUAACCUUGCUGUACAGGUGGUGACACCACUGAGGAUUGUGUAAGCUCUCUGUGACUUUUGCAAAAUUGCAGAAUCACCCUUGGAUACAUCAGAACAUAUCCCCAUUGGUAAGUGACACAUAACUGUGCUUCAGAAACAGGAGCAGCAGAUUGUGAACACC